GAUGAACGCUGGCGGCGUGCCUAAUACAUGCAAGUCGAGCGAACGGACGAGAAGCUUGCUUUUCUGAUGUUAGCGGCGGACGGGUGAGUAACACGUGGAUAACCUACCUAUAAGACUUGGAUAACUUCGGGAAACCGGCGCUAAUACCGGUUAAUAUUUUGAACCGCAUGGUUCAAAAGUGAAAGACGGUCUUGCUGUCACUUAUAGAUGGAUCCGCGCUGCAUUAGCUAGUUGGUAAGGUAACGGCUUACCAAGGCAACGAUGCAUAGCCGACCUGAGAGGGUGAUCGGCCACACUGGAACUGAGACACGGUCCAGACUCCUACGGGAGGCAGCAGUAGGGAAUCUUCCGCAAUGGGCGAAAGCCUGACGGAGCAACGCCGCGUGAGUGAUGAAGGUCUUCGGAUCGUAAAACUCUGUUAUUAGGGAAGAACAUAUGUGUAAGUAACUGUGCACAUCUUGACGGUACCUAAUCAGAAAGCCACGGCUAACUACGUG
rnacentral:rRNA from 1 species